rnacentral:rRNA from 1 species
GAUGAACGCUGGCGGCGUGCUUAACACAUGCAAGUCGAACGGAAAUAGAAUGAAAAAGCUGAUGCUUGCAUCAGCAUGGGAUUUCUAUUUUAGUGGUGGACGGGUGAGUAACGCGUGGAUAACCUGCCUUACACUGGGGGAUAACACUUAGAAAUAGGUGCUAAUACCGCAUAAGCGCACAGGACCGCAUGGUCUGGUGUGAAAAACUCCGGUGGUGUAAGAUGGAUCCGCGUCUGAUUAGCUAGUUGGUGAGGUAACGGCUCACCAAGGCGACGAUCAGUAGCCGGCCUGAGAGGGUGAACGGCCACAUUGGGACUGAGACACGGCCCAAACUCCUACGGGAGGCAGCAGUGGGGAAUAUUGCACAAUGGGCGAAAGCCUGAUGCAGCGACGCCGCGUGAGUGAAGAAGUAUUUCGGUAUGUAAAGCUCUAUCAGCAAGGAAGAAAAUGACGGUACUUGACUAAGAAGCCCCGGCUAACUACGUGCCAGCAGCCGCGGUAA